rnacentral:rRNA from 1 species
UAGGGAAUUUUCGUCAAUGGGGGCAACCCUGAACGAGCAAUGCCGCGUGACCGAAGAAGGUCUUCGGAUUGUAAAGCUCUGUUGCCGGGGAAAAAGGAAGGAAAGAGGAAAUGCUUUUCUUUGGAUGGUACCCGGCCAGAAAGUCACGGCUAACUACGUGCC